rnacentral:rRNA from 1 species
UUUCCGUAGGUGAACCUGCGGAAGGAUCAUUACAGUAUAGUCUGCGCUUAGGUGCGCGAUUACACACAGUGUUUUUUCUUUGAAAACUUUCUCUGGCGGGAGCAAUCACGCCAGGGGUAUAACUCAACUAAUGUUUUUAUUUUUAUUGUCGACUGAUUAUUUAAUAUCAAAACUUUCAACAACGGAUCUCUUGGUUCUCGCAUCGAUGAAGAACGCAGCGAAAUGCGAUAAGUAAUAUGAAUUGCAGAUAUUCGUGAAUCAUCGAAUCUUUGAACGCACAUUGCGCCCUGUGGUAUUCCACAGGGCAUGCCUGUUUGAGCGUCAUUUCUCUCUCAAGCCCUCGGGUUUGGUAUUGAGUGAUACUCUUAGUCAGACUAAGCGUUUGCUUGAAAUGUAUUGGCGUGAGUGGUGCGAAAGCUCCCUGGAAUUACAAUGUAUUAGGUUCUACCAACUCGUUGUUUCUCUGAGGAAGUUGCAGUGCUGUAGCCCCGCCUAACAAAUCACCAAACAAGUUUGACCUCAAAUCAGGUAGGAUUACCCGCUGAACUU